CCAGGGAUUGCCUUAGUAACGGCGAGUGAAGCGGCAAAAGCUCAAAUUUGAAAUCUAGCACUUUCAGUGUUCGAGUUGUAAUUUGAAGAAGGUAACUUUGGAAUUGGCUCUUGUCUAUGUUCCUUGGAACAGGACGUCACAGAGGGUGAGAAUCCCGUGCGAUGAGAUGUCCAAUUCUAUGUAAAGUGCUUUCGAAGAGUCGAGUUGUUUGGGAAUGCAGCUCUAAGUGGGUGGUAAAUUCCAUCUAAAGCUAAAUAUUGGCGAGAGACCGAUAGCGAACAAGUACAGUGAUGGAAAGAUGAAAAGAACUUUGAAAAGAGAGUGAAAAAGUACGUGAAAUUGUUGAAAGGGAAGGGCUUGAGAUCAGACUUGGUAUUUUGUGUUCCUUAUUCUUUUUGGAUUUGGUUCCUCACAGCUUACCGGGCCAGCAUCGGUUUGGAUGGUAGGAUAAUGACAUUGGAAUGUAGCUUUGCUUCGGUGAAGUGUUAUAGACUUUGUUGAUACUGCCUAUCUAGACCGAGGACUGCGUCUUUGACUAGGAUGCUGGCGUAAUGAUCUUAAGCCGCCCGUCUUGAACACCGGACCAA
rnacentral:rRNA from 1 species